AUUCUCGAUUUCUGACUUGCCGAUAAGUUCUUACUUGUUUUGGUGAAGUUAAAGUAUAAUCGGUUCAAGUUUGUGGCCGUCCAUGUUGAAGUACCCGCUUCCAUACGAUGUAUAAAUUAAAUUUUGUUGGACUUUUGUUGGAUGUAUCGGACAUUAAAAUUUUUAUUUGGUGUUA